GACGUAGGGUGCGAGCGUUGUCCGGAUUUAUUGGGCGUAAAGAGCUCGUAGGCGGCUCGUCGCGUCGACCGUGAAAACCCGCGGCUUAACUGCGGGCUUGCGGUUGAUACGGGCGGGCUAGAGUUCGGUAGGGGAGACUGGAAUUCCUGGUGUAGCGGUGAAAUGCGCGGAUAUCAGGAGGAACACCGGUGGCGAAGGCGGGUCUCUGGGCAUUAACUGACGCUGAGGAGCGAAAGCAUGGGGAGCGAACAGG
rnacentral:rRNA from 1 species